CCUACGGGAUGCAGCAGUGAGGAAUAUUGGUCAAUGGACGAGAGUCUGAACCAGCCAAGUAGCGUGAAGGAUGACUGCCCUAUGGGUUGUAAACUUCUUUUAUAAAGGAAUAAAACGAGGCACGUGUGCCUUUUUGCAUGUACUUUAUGAAUAAGGAUCGGCUAACUCCGUGCCAGCAGCCGCGGUAAUACGGAGGAUCCGAGCGUUAUCCGGAUUUAUUGGGGUUAAAGGGAGCGUAGAUGGGUUGUUAAGUCAGUUGUGAAAGUUUGCGGCUCAACCGUAAAAUUGCAAUUGAUACUGGCAGCCUUGAGUACAGUUGAGGUAGGCGGAAUUCGUGGUGUAGCGGUGAAAUGCUUAGAUAUAACGAAGAACCCCGAUUGCGAAGGCAGCUUACUAAACUGUGACUGACAUUGAUGCUCGAAAGUGUGGGUAUCAAACAGGAUUAGAUACCCCGGUAGUC
rnacentral:rRNA from 1 species